GUUCUCACGAAGUGAAAGCCAUUUGUACGACCUUAAGCAAGUCAAUACCGUCUCUUUGUAUUCCAGUUUUAUUAAAGUUAAUAAUAGCUCAUAUAAAUAACAUGUAUUGAAUUUGUAGUAUAUGGUGGGCACACACCGAAGAGGUAAUGGAAGAGACCUGAAUAAGGGUUCUAUUUACACAGGUGUGGGUCAGAUUAAGGGAUGUGAUGAAGUACUCCCAGCGCUAGCAAGAGUGGGAAACCACUCAUUCUGAAGGAGUGAAGGGAACUCGAGAGGAACCGGGACUUUAAGAGAGGGCUGCCUGACAGCAGGUUAGGGUGGUGCAGAAAGCCAGCACGUGAGGACUGUUGGCUCCUUAUCUUCCACAUUGAAGGGACUGAGAAAAGGCUCUGAGAACUUAAGAACCUCGACCAAGUCGCACAUCAGGUCUAAGAGCCAUUUGACAUUCUGGACCACGAUUUCCCACCCACACAGUCUGCCUGAUGCUUGUUAAUGACCCAUCACAAUGGUUUUGCUUCUCUGCUGCAUAGAUUCAGAGCAGGACCUGAUGACCUUCUUAAGAGCAGCCAGAGAAGCCUGAACUGCAUGAAGAUCAGGUUUUGGGGUACAUGUGAAGAACAUACAAGAUUGUUGCAUAGGUACACACAUGGCAGUGUGAUAUGCUGCCUUCCUCCCCAUCACCUGUAUCUGGCAUUUCUCCCCAUGCUAUCUCUCCCCAACUCCCCACCCCCCGCUGUACCUCCCCUAUUUCCCCCCGACAGACCCCAGUGUGUGAUGCUCCCCUCCCUGUGUCCAUAUGUUCUCAUUGUUCAACACCCGCCUAUGAGUGAGAACAUGCGAUGUUUGAUUUUCUGUCCUUGUGUCAGUUUGCUGAGAAUGAUGGUUAGGCGUUUCUUUAUAGCAAUGAGAGAGUGGCCUGAUACAAAGACGUUGUCGCUCAGAGGGAAUUUUGGUUACUCAUUUGUCCUCCUCCCCAAAUUCAUAUCCUGA
rnacentral:lncRNA from 1 species